rnacentral:lncRNA from 1 species
UAGUAGUCUUGGGGGUGGUAGUAGUCCUGGGGGUGGUAGUAGUCUUGGGGGUGGUAGUAGUCUUCAGGGUGGUAGUAGUCUUCAGGGUGGUAGUUGUCUUCAGGGUGAUAGGAGUCUUUAGGGUGGUAGGAGUCUUCAGGGUGGUAGUAGUCUUCAGGGUGGUAGCAGUCUUGGGGGUGGUAGUAGUCUUUGGUGUGUUAGUAGUCUUGGGGGUGGUAGUAGUCCUGGGGGUGGUAGUAGUCUUGGGGGUGGUAGUAUAGUCUAGGGUGGUAGUAGUCUUUAGGGUGGUAGUAGUCUUGGGGUGGUAGUAGUCUUGGGUUGGUAGUAGUCUUGGGGGUGGUAGUAGUCUUGGGGGUGGUAGUAGUCUUUAGGGUGGUAGUAGUCUUGGGGUGGUAGUAGUCUUGGGGUGGUAGUAGUCUUGGGGUGGUAGUAGUCUUGGGGGUGGUAGUAGUCCUGGGGGUGGUAGUAGUCCUGGGGGUGGUAGUAGUCUUG